UACAGAGGGGGCGAGCGUUAUUCGGAAUUAUUGGGCGUAAAGGGCGCGUAGGCGGCCUUGUAAGUCUUGGGUGAAAUCCCUCAGCUCAACUGAGGAACUGCCUCGGAUACUGCAGGGCUUGAGGCCGGGAGAGGGUAGUGGAAUUCCCAGUGUAGCGGUGAAAUGCGUAGAUAUUGGGAGGAACACCAGUGGCGAAGGCGACUACCUGGCCCAUUCUUGACGCUGAGGCGCGAAAGCUAGGGGAGCGAACGGG
rnacentral:rRNA from 1 species